rnacentral:rRNA from 1 species
CCAAGGCUAAAUACUCCUGACUGACCGAUAGUGAACCAGUACCGUGAGGGAAAGGCGAAAAGAACCCCGGCGAGGGGAGUGAAAAAGAACCUGAAACCGUGUACGUACAAGCAGUGGGAGCACCCUUCGGGGUGUGACUGCGUACCUUUUGUAUAAUGGGUCAGCGACUUAUAUUCUGUAGCAAGGUUAACCGUAUAGGGGAGCCGUAGGGAAACCGAGUCUUAACCGGGCGUUAAGUUGCAGGGUAUAGACCCGAAACCCGGUGAUCUAGCCAUGGGCAGGUUGAAGGUUGGGUAACACUAACUGGAGGACCGAACCGACUAAUGUUGAAAAA